rnacentral:rRNA from 1 species
CAUUAGUUGCCAUCAUUUAGUUGGGCGACUCUAAUGAGACUGCCGGUGACAAACCGGAGGAAGGUGGGGAUGACGUCAAGUCCUCAUGGCCCUUAUGGUAGGGCUUCACACGUCAUACAAUGGUCGGGUACAGAGGGUUGCCAAGCCGCGAGGUGGAGCCAAUCCCUUAAAGCCGAUCGUAGUUCGGAUUGCAGGCUGCAAUUCGCCCGCAUGAAGUCGGAAUCGCUAGUAAUCGCAGGUCAGCAUACUGCGGUGAAUACGUUCCCGGGCCUU